rnacentral:rRNA from 1 species
UAAGAAGCGAACGCAGGGAACUGAAACAUCUAAGUACCUGCAGGAAAGGACAUCAACCGAGACUCCGCAAGUAGUGGCGAGCGAACGCGGACCAGGCCAGUGGCAAUGAUGAAUAAAGCGGAACGAUCUGGAAAGGUCGGCCAUAGAGGGUGAUAGCCCCUUACGCGUAGAACAGUCAUUGUCCUUGAGUAGGGCGGGACACGUGAAAUCCUGUCUGAACAUGGGGAGACCACUCUCCAAGCCUAAGUACUCGUGCAUGACCGAUAGCGAACAAGUACCGUGAGGGAAAGGUGAAAAGCACCCCGACGAGGGGAGUGAAAUAGAACCUGAAACCGGAUGCCUACAAACAGUCGGAGCCCGCAAGGGUGACGGCGUACCUUUUGUAUAAUGGGUCAACGACUUAGUGUAACUAGCAAGCUUAAGCCGGUAGGUGUAGGCGCAGCGAAAGCGAGUCUGAACAGGGCGAUUGAGUUAGUUGCAUUAGACCCGAAACCGAGUGAUCUAGCCAUGAGCAGGCUGAAGGUUGGGUAACACCAACUGGAGGGCCGAACCCAUAACUGUUGCAAUAGUUCGGGAUGACUUGUGGCUAGGGGUGAAAGGCCAAUCAAACUCGGAAAUAGCUGGUUCUCCGCGAAAUCUAUUUAGGUAGAGCGUCGACCGAAUACCCUCGGGGGUAGAGCACUGGAUGGGCUAUGGGGACUCACCGUCUUACUGAUCCUAACCAAACUCCGAAUACCGAGGAGUACUAGUCGGCAGACACACGGCGGGUGCUAACGUCCGUCGUGAAAAGGGCAACAACCCUGACCUCCAGCUAAGGUCCCCAAGUCAUGGCUAAGUGGGAAAGGAUGUGAGGAUCCCAAAACAACCAGGAUGUUGGCUUAGAAGCAGCCAUCAUUUAAAGAAAGCGUAACAGCUCACUGGUCUAAAUAAGGGUCUUUGCGCCGAAAAUGUAACGGGGCUAAAGCCAUGCACCGAAGCUGAGGAUUUGCAGCAAUGCAAGUGGUAGCGGAGCGUUCCGUAAGUCUGUGAAGGCGGACCCGUGAGGGCUGCUGGAGAUAUCGGAAGUGCGAAUGUUGACAUGAGUAACGAUAAAGGGAGUGAGAGACUCCCUCGCCGAAAGA